rnacentral:rRNA from 1 species
UGGCUCAGAGUGAACGCUGGCGGCGUGCUUAACACAUGCAAGUCGAACGGAUUUCUGCAGCGUAUCGCAGGAAUCAGUGGCAGACGGGUGAGUAUCACAUAGGUGAUCUACCCUUGGGAGGGAAAUAACCCCGAGAAAUCGGGGCUAAUGUCCCAUAAGACCACGGCCUUUCCUACGAAAGGCUGAGGCCAAAGCCCCGCAAGGGGCACUUGAGGAUGAGCCUGUGUCCUAUCAGCUAGUUGGUGAGGUAAUGGCCCACCAAGGCUAAGACGGGUAUCCGACCUGAAAGGGUGACCGGACACACUGGAACUGAGACACGGUCCAGACUCCUACGGGAGGCUGCAGUCGAGAAUCUUUAGCAAUGGACGAAAGUCUGACUAUGCGACGCCGCGUGAGGGAUGAAGGUCUUCGGAUUGUAAACCUCUUUUGGCAGGGAAGAAAAUCCCGUUAUCUAAUAGGUAGCGGGACUGACGGUACCUGCAGAAUAAGCCACGGCCAACUCCGUGCCAGCAGCCGCGGUAAUACGGAGGUGGCGAGCGUUACUCGGAAUCAUUGGGUGUAAAGGGCAAGUAGGCGGCUCGGUAAGUGAGGGGUGAAAUCCUGCGGCUCAAUCGCAGAAAUGCCUUUCAUACUGCCAGGCUUGAGGAUGGAAGAGGGAAAUGGAAUUCUCGGUGUAAGGGUGAAAUCUGUAGAGAUCGAGAAGAACACCAGCGGCGAAGGCGAUUUCCUGGUCCAUCCCUGACGCUGAAUUGCGAAAGCUAGGGGAGCAAACAGAAUUAGAUACUCUGGUAGUCCUAGCCGUAAACGAUGAGCACUAGGUGUUGGCCCUUCGGGGUCAGUGCCGCAGCUAACGCAUUAAGUGCUCCACCUGGGGACUACGGCCGCAAGG